rnacentral:lncRNA from 1 species
UCAAAACAGAAAUUUUACAUAUUAACAAAAUCAAACUGCAGUCAAAUAACAAAAUCCAUCAUCAAAACACCUAUGACCAUAUACUCCCAAAACAAAAUGUUCCACCCAUUUCACCCAAAACCUGUAAAAUAACUGAGGAAAAUUAAACAAAAACGAAUGUGAUAGUGAGAGCAGAAAGAAGAAAAUAAAAAAUUGGUUAUCUGAUAAUUAUAUCUCACCAAAAGAUUCGGAUGUUUCAUCUAAGCGAAACUUGAAAUCGAAGAGUUAAGUAGUCGUUUUUAUGGGCUGCAUGCGGCUAUUUGUCCAGAUUGACGGUAGUCUUAGGGAUGAUUGAUCGAUUUAGAGGAUAAUACAAGCUUGGUAGGAGGGUUUUAUGGUUCUCGAAGAACCAAAAUGGUUGAGGGAGUUUGAGAAUCGAGAUCCGUCGUUUGGGUGUUGAGAGUUGGGAGGUCUGUUAAGAGUUGGGUAUUCAGAUAAAGUGAAGAAUGAGAAUGAAC